rnacentral:miRNA from 1 species
UAGACGACGGUUGUAUGACCG